rnacentral:rRNA from 1 species
UACGUAGGGAGCAAGCGUUGUCCGGAUUUAUUGGGCGUAAAGAGCGUGUAGGCGGCCUGAAAGGUCAGCUGUGAAAACUCGAGGCUCAACCUCGAGACGUCGGUUGAAACCAUCUGGCUAGAGUCCGGAAGAGGAGAGUGGAAUUCCCGGUGUAGCGGUGAAAUGCGCAGAUAUCGGGAAGAACACCCGUGGCGAAGGCGGCUCUCUGGGACGGUACUGACGCUGAGACGCGAAAGCGUGGGGAGCGAACAGG